rnacentral:rRNA from 1 species
GACGAACGCUGGCGGCGUGCCUAAUACCUGCAAGUAGAACGCAGUUGCGAACGGGUGAGUAACGCGUGGGUAACUGCCUCAUAGCGGGGGAUAACUAUUGGAAACGAUAGCUCAUACCGCCUACUGUGAGAUGGACCUGCGUUGUAUUAGCUAGUUGGUGAGGUAAAGGCUCACCAAGGCGACGAUACAUAGCCGACUUGAGAGGGUGAAGGGCCACACGAGUACUGAGGCACGGCCCAGAAUCCUAGGGGAGACAGCAUAAGUUGAUCUCCUGGAAUGGACUGAAUUCUGACCGAGCAACGGCGGGGGAGUGAAGAAGGUUUUCGGGUCUUAAAGCUCGGUUGUUAGAGAAGCGGUAACUAACCAGAAGGGGACGGCUAACUACGUGCCGGCAGCCGCGGUAAUUC